UUAAGCGACUAAGCGUACACGGUGGAUGCCCUGGCAGUCAGAGGCGAUGAAGGACGUGCUAAUCUGCGAUAAGCGUCGGUAAGGUGAUAUGAACCGUUAUAACCGGCGAUUUCCGAAUGGGGAAACCCAGUGUGUUUCGACACACUAUCAUUAACUGAAUCCAUAGGUUAAUGAGGCGAACCGGGGGAACUGAAACAUCUAAGUACCCCGAGGAAAAGAAAUCAACCGAGAUUCCCCCAGUAGCGGCGAGCGAACGGGGAGCAGCCCAGAGCCUGAAUCAGUGUGUGUGUUAGUGGAAGCGUCUGGAAAGGCGCGCGAUACAGGGUGACAGCCCCGUACACAAAAAUGCACAUGCUGUGAGCUCGAUGAGUAGGGCGGGACACGUGGUAUCCUGUCUGAAUAUGGGGGGACCAUCCUCCAAGGCUAAAUACUCCUGACUGACCGAUAGUGAACCAGUACCGUGAGGGAAAGGCGAAAAGAACCCCGGCGAGGGGAGUGAAAAAGAACCUGAAACCGUGUACGUACAAGCAGUGGGAGCACGCUUAGGCGUGUGACUGCGUACCUUUUGUAUAAUGGGUCAGCGACUUAUAUUCUGUAGCAAGGUUAACCGAAUAGGGGAGCCGAAGGGAAACCGAGUCUUAACUGGGCGUUAAGUUGCAGGGUAUAGACCCGAAACCCGGUGAUCUAGCCAUGGGCAGGUUGAAGGUUGGGUAACACUAACUGGAGGACCGAACCGACUAAUGUUGAAAAAUUAGCGGAUGACUUGUGGCUGGGGGUGAAAGGCCAAUCAAACCGGGAGAUAGCUGGUUCUCCCCGAAAGCUAUUUAGGUAGCGCCUCGUGAAUUCAUCUCCGGGGGUAGAGCACUGUUUCGGCAAGGGGGUCAUCCCGACUUACCAACCCGAUGCAAACUGCGAAUACCGGAGAAUGUUAUCACGGGAGACACACGGCGGGUGCUAACGUCCGUCGUGAAGAGGGAAACAACCCAGACCGCCAGCUAAGGUCCCAAAGUCAUGGUUAAGUGGGAAACGAUGUGGGAAGGCCCAGACAGCCAGGAUGUUGGCUUAGAAGCAGCCAUCAUUUAAAGAAAGCGUAAUAGCUCACUGGUCGAGUCGGCCUGCGCGGAAGAUGUAACGGGGCUAAACCAUGCACCGAAGCUGCGGCAGCGACGCUGAUGCGUUGUUGGGUAGGGGAGCGUUCUGUAAGCCUGCGAAGGUGUGCUGUGAGGCAUGCUGGAGGUAUCAGAAGUGCGAAUGCUGACAUAAGUAACGAUAAAGCGGGUGAAAAGCCCGCUCGCCGGAAGACCAAGGGUUCCUGUCCAACGUUAAUCGGGGCAGGGUGAGUCGACCCCUAAGGCGAGGCCGAAAGGCGUAGUCGAUGGGAAACAGGUUAAUAUUCCUGUACUUGGUGUUACUGCGAAGGGGGGACGGAGAAGGCUAUGUUGGCCGGGCGACGGUUGUCCCGGUUUAAGCGUGUAGGCUGGUUUUCCAGGCAAAUCCGGAAAAUCAAGGCUGAGGCGUGAUGACGAGGCACUACGGUGCUGAAGCAACAAAUGCCCUGCUUCCAGGAAAAGCCUCUAAGCAUCAGGUAACAUCAAAUCGUACCCCAAACCGACACAGGUGGUCAGGUAGAGAAUACCAAGGCGCUUGAGAGAACUCGGGUGAAGGAACUAGGCAAAAUGGUGCCGUAACUUCGGGAGAAGGCACGCUGAUAUGUAGGUGAAGUCCCUCGCGGAUGGAGCUGAAAUCAGUCGAAGAUACCAGCUGGCUGCAACUGUUUAUUAAAAACACAGCACUGUGCAAACACGAAAGUGGACGUAUACGGUGUGACGCCUGCCCGGUGCCGGAAGGUUAAUUGAUGGGGUUAGCCGCAAGGCGAAGCUCUUGAUCGAAGCCCCGGUAAACGGCGGCCGUAACUAUAACGGUCCUAAGGUAGCGAAAUUCCUUGUCGGGUAAGUUCCGACCUGCACGAA
rnacentral:rRNA from 1 species